rnacentral:piRNA from 1 species
UCCUGUACUCGACUCAUGCUGUGCACUCUCA